rnacentral:rRNA from 1 species
GCUGGCUUUCUUUGCAUGUGCACAUCUCGCUAUCUGUCGACCUUUCUCUCACUCAUUCAUUACACCUGUGCACCUAUUGUAGCUUCUCAAAAAAGAGAAUCUAUGUUUUUUCCUAUCACAUCUAUCGUAUGUCUACAGAAUGCUAUCAAAGCCCGUCGAUCAGGCCUUGUCCUGCUCGGCCUGCUUAAUGAAAUCAUAUACAACUUUCAGCAACGGAUCUCUUGGCUCUCGCAUCGAUGAAGAACGCAGCGAAUUGCGAUAAGUAAUGUGAAUUGCAGAUUUCCAGUGAAUCAUCGAAUCUUUGAACGCACCUUGCGCUCCUUGGUAUUCUGAGGAGCAUGCCUGUUUGAGUGUCAUCGAAUUCUCAACCAUCUCUUGAUUGAUUUCAAGAUUUUGGCUUGGAGUUGGGACUUGCUGGCACCCUUGUCAGCUCUCCUGAAAUUCAUUAGCAAUGGCAGCUUGCUAGUCUUUUGACGUGCAUGGCCUUUUGACGUGAUAAUGAUCGUCAUGGCUGGAGCGUCAUGCUAUUUAGAUUAUGCAUGAAUGGCCCAUGGCUUAUAAUAUUAUAUUAGCAUCACUUGUCUUGAAAGCAAUGCCAAGCUUUAGUUACUAGUCAGUUCACAAAGCUGGCGAAAGCAGAGCAAGGUUUUGUCUGGACUUGGACUUGUGUUUCUAAUUCUAUUCUAAACUUGACCUCAAAUCAGGCAGGACUACCCGCUGAACUUAAGCA